rnacentral:lncRNA from 1 species
UAUUAUUGGGGUCUGAGGAAGGGAGAGUGUUCCAGGAUCAUUGUGCUUAAGUGUCUUAAUCUCACCUGCACACCUCUGUUGACAACUGAUACACUGAGUUCCAGAAGGUGAUGUGACCGGGCAGAAGUCAUGCUGCAAGCUCUUGGCGGCGGCCGCGGUGGCGGUGGUGUAUGUGAGAACUUCAGGCUCACAUGACAGUCUCAGCAUUACGUAUCCCGGGACAGACAAACUCAACGCAUCACCAGACAGCAGCAAGAGCUUCAGGAGAGAAUAGAAUGGAGGAGCAUCCUUCCGAACUGUCAUCCUGCUCCCCAGGGCUCCACACAGGUUUUUCUUCAUAAUCAUGAGAAACAAGAAUAGCAUCUGUCUUCCGAAAUGGAUCUUGAAAUGGCAGAAGACAAGGUGGGAAAUGGGAUUUUC